GUGGCUAUAGCUCAAUUGGUUAGAGCCUCAGCUUGUGAAGCUGACUGUUGCGGGUUCGAGUCCCGUUAGCCACCCCA
rnacentral:tRNA from 1 species